GCCUCUGUAGCUCAGUGGUAGAGCGUUUGUCUUGUAAACAAAAGGUCUGUUGUUCAAUCCAGCACCGAGGCA
rfam:Mucor circinelloides f. circinelloides 1006PhL unplaced genomic scaffold supercont1.133, whole genome shotgun sequence.